AAGAAUUGAAUAUCAUUACCUCGUAUAAUCUUGGGAAUAUGGCCCAUAAGUAUCUACCUAAUGACCGGAAAUUAUUAGACUAUGAGGGAGACUGCCGUGUGU
rnacentral:ncRNA from 2 species